rnacentral:miRNA from 1 species
UAACCUUAUGAUCAUUAUU